rnacentral:other from 1 species
AUUCGCCUGGGGUGUGCGAGGACUCUUAUUUAUGUCUAACCUACAUAGUUUUUAGGGAAACCGAUUUGAGCCUGAAGAUGCUGGGUCGUCUUCGAACGAAUAGCUGAGGCAGGACUUAGGUUACCCACCUGCGAGUCGCAGGUUUAGGCAUAUAAGAGUAACGGCAUUCUGGACCCCUU